ensembl:snRNA U6 U6 spliceosomal RNA
GGGCUUGCUUUGCAGCACAUAAACUAAAAAUUGAAGUCAUGCAGAGGAGAUUAGCUUGGCCCCUGUGCAAGGAUGAUACUCAAAUUUAUGAACCAUGCCAUUAAAAA